rnacentral:rRNA from 1 species
AUUGAACGCUGGCGGCAGGCCUAACACAUGCAAGUCGAACGAGUGGCGGACGGGUGAGUAAUGUCUGGGAAACUGCCCGAUGGAGGGGGAUAACUACUGGAAACGGUAGCUAAUACCGCGUACCAUCGGAUGUGCCCAGAUGGGAGUAGCUUGUAGGUGAGGUAACGUCGCACCUAGGCGACGAUCCCUAGCUGGUCUGAGAGGAUGACCAGCGACACUGGAAAGGAGGACCGCGCCAGACUCCGGCGGGAGGCAGCAGUGGGGAAUAUUGCACAAUGGGCGCAAGGCGGAUGUAGCCAUGCGGCGUGUAUGAAGAAGGCCUUCGGGUUGGACAGUACUUUCGGCGGGGAGGCGUUACCCGCAGAAGAAGCACCGGCUAACUCCGUGCCAGCAGCCGCGGUAAUAC